rfam:Ovis aries breed Texel chromosome 10, whole genome shotgun sequence.
UCCCUGGUGGUCUAGUGGCUAAGACUCCAUGCUCCUAACUCAGGGGGCCUGGGUUCGAUCCCUAGUCAGGAAA